GAGUCCCGAACUCGAAGUUUGGUCUGGAUUCUGGAGACUACGGCCUAUUCGAACGCGUCAUUCUCCAGUCUCUCCUCCUCCUUCUCUCGCCUUCUGCUGCUCUGCCCUUCCCCACUUCUCUCAGAGAUCAAGUCGUAUCUACUUCUCUUACUCUCCCUCUUCAGUUUGGGGCAUUGAAUUCAAUUGGAUUGAAGAAUGAAGGUUGCGGUCAAAUUCUAUUGCUCUGGUUGCGGUCAAAAGAGGGAUAGCUGCUGCUGUGCUAUCCACAACCAUGUUACAGAUUGGAAGGCCUUUCUGCAUAGAUGGACUCAUUAGAGCAUGCAAAGUAGUGUGUUGGUGUAUUCAAGUGAUGUUGGUGCACCAAUAGGUUCUACUUCCUCAUGUAUGGGGUUAUUCAAUAUAAUUUGGUUACUUUUUUUUUCUUUCUUCUUAAUAUUACAUAUGACUGCAAACUGGAGGCCCUGCUGGUUAACGUUUUUUUUUUUUUUGGUUAAGAAGUUCUAGCCCACCCGAACUUUCAUUCCUGGAUCCGCCAUUGACCACAAAGGAGCAAGUGUUGGCUUGUUUGUUCUCGACUGAAACUAGAUACAGAGCAACUACUCCUACUCACAAAUUUGACAAUAGCUUUCUCCAAAUCUAAGCUCAUUCCAAGGUGGACAACCGACACAAUGUGAUUCAUAAGGAGUGAAUCACAUGGUAAUACGAUAGGCUCAUUGCUUGAUACUCCGAACUCUUCUUCAGACAUUUUGAAAAGCUCUUGGAAAAUGUAGCUACCAAGAUAAGAUAAGGGAAGCACAAAACGCGCCUUGUCAAGGGUGUAAAUAACAAAAUUGCCUUUCGCUGCAGUAGUAUCACAUGACUUUCUACCAACUCCUCUCGGAUGCGGAUGAAGUGGCCUCGAGAAAUUGAGCAAGAAAGCAGUGGCAGCUUUGCAGGCAGUUGAAGUUUCUGUGUCAGAAUACUGAAUAUUGCUAUUGCUGUGAUAAUGAGAGAUGGAAAAACCAAUAGGGGUGGGUUAACUAUAUAUAUAAAGUUCUCUUAGGACCUUCAGACGAUUUAUAAAUGUAUUGCGGGCUUCUUGUUGUAGUGAUUUUCUAUGAUAAUCAUUUUUGUUAUUAGUACUAGUUAGUACUUGUUGGAGAAAACUCCAAUGUUUAGAACCAAAACAUCUUGGUCCUUGGAUGCCUGAAGGAAUCAAUAUAACAGAAUUUUUGUUUUUGCUUUAAAAGAUAGUUUUCAAGUUGUUAUAAGAGCCAUUAUGA
rnacentral:lncRNA from 1 species